GACAAGCUAAUAUCAGUUUUUCCUCUACUGCAGACGAUCGGGCGGCUGUUGCCGAUGAAGCACAUAUGCAUGGUUCAAUGGAACAAUUCAAUUGAACAGAUCCUGAUGGAUCUAAGGACUGCAGAUUUUUUUACUGAACAAAUUGAAUGGAACAAUUCCUUCAUUUACAAAAGAAACAUUUAUAAUGGCUGCAUCAUUCAAACGGUAUCCGAUGGCGAAGAUUUGAAGUGAAAACAUUAUUUUUCUUUUUCAGAGGUCCUGCUUGGUCAGAAAAUAACCUCAGGACUGUCCUGCAGCUACUCUGCUACUCCCUCAAACCAUUGUGUGGUCUGUGGUGUGGGUCGUCCGAUGACCGCAAGGAAAGAUUAUAAAAUGCACCAAAAUUUGACCAAGCAGCAUUUGCCGACAAGUGCCCCAGAUCUAAGAAAUAUAAUAUUUCAGUGGACGAAGAAUAAGUUGCAAGAUAAAAGUAAGACACUACAAAGGAACAUUUUCUCAGUAGCCUAAAUAGCUGUCACUGACAAAAACCAGGACCGGAAACUAAAAUGUAUACAUUAACAAUACGCAUAAACUGAAUGUAAUAGUAAGAAAGAAGGAAUACAAAUCUGAGGAUAAGAUAAACAAGAAGUAAGCUCAAGUGCUAUUUACUGAUUUACAUAUUGGAACAUCUAACAGGUAAUAGCAAAACUGUCAACUGUGGUAUCAGGAAAAAUAAUCUUCUGUUUGUCGCCUUAGCCUUUAUCAGACCUGAGCUCUUACAGGUAACUGCAACCAAACAAUCCGGUACACCCAUACAUUGUAGUCAGA
rnacentral:lncRNA from 7 species